UAGGGAAUCUUCCACAAUGGGUGCAAACCUGAUUGAAGCAAUGCCGCGUGAAUGAAGAAGGUCUUCGGAUCGUAAAGUUCUGUUAUUAGAGAAGAACAAGUCAAGGAGUAACUGUCUUGACUUUGACGGUACCUAACCAGAAAGUCACGGCUAACUACGUGCCAGCAGCCGCGGUAAUACGUAGGUGACAAGCGUUGUCCGGAAUUAUUGGGCGUAAAGGGAGCGCAGGCGGUUGGAAUAGUCUGAUGUGAAAGCCCACGGCUUAACCGUGGAAGGUCAUUGGAAACUGUCCAACUUGAAUGCAGAAGAGGUAAGUGGAAUUCCAUGUGUAGCGGUGAAAUGCGUAGAUAUAUGGAGGAACACCAGUGGCGAAGGCGACUUACUGGUCUGUGAUUGACGCUGAGGCUCGAAAGCGUGGGUAGCGAACAGGAUUAGAUACCCUGGUAGUCCACGCCGUAAACGAUGAGUGCUAAGUGUUGGAGGGUUUCCGCCCUUCAGUGCUGGAGUUAACGCAUUAAGCACUCCGCCUNGGGAGUACGACCCGCAAGGUUG
rnacentral:rRNA from 1 species